rnacentral:rRNA from 2 species
CCCGGAUGUUAGCGGCGGACGGGUGAGUAACACGUGGGUAACCUGCCUGUAAGACUGGGAUAACUCCGGGAAACCGGAGCUAAUACCGGAUAGUUCCUUGAACCGCAUGGUUCAAGGAUGAAAGACGGUUUCGGCUGUCACUUACAGAUGGACCCGCGGCGCAUUAUCUAGUUGGUGAGGUAACGGCUCACCAAGGCGACGAUGCGUAGCCGACCUGAGAGGGUGAUCGGCCACACUGGGACUGAGACACGGCCCAGACUCCUACGGGAGGCAGCAGUAGGGAAUCUUCCGCAAUGGACGAAAGUCUGACGGAGCAACGCCGCGUGAGUGAUGAAGGUUUUCGGAUCGUAAAGCUCUGUUGUUAGGGAAGAACAAGUGCAAGAGUAACUGCUUGCACCUUGACGGUACCUAACCAGAAAGCCACGGCUAACUACGUGCCAGCAGCCGCGGUAAUACGUAGGUGGCAAGCGUUGUCCGGAAUUAUUGGGCGUAAAGGGCUCGCAGGCGGUUUCUUAAGUCUGAUGUGAAAGCCCCCGGCUCAACCGGGGAGGGUCAUUGGAAACUGGGAAACUUGAGUGCAGAAGAGGAGAGUGGAAUUCCACGUGUAGCGGUGAAAUGCGUAGAGAUGUGGAGGAACACCAGUGGCGAAGGCGACUCUCUGGUCUGUAACUGACGCUGAGGAGCGAAAGCGUGGUGAGCGAACAGGAUUAUAUACCCUGGUAGUCCACGCCGUAAACGAUGAGUGCUAAGUGUUA